rnacentral:rRNA from 1 species
GACGAACGCUGGCGGCGUGCCUAAUACAUGCAAGUCGAACGCAGUGGGGACGGGUGAGUAACACGUGGGUAACCUCCCAUCAGAGGGGAUAACACUUGGAAACAGGUGCUAAACCGAUACUGAUGGAUGUACCCGCGGUGGAUUAGCUAGUUGGUGAGGUAACGGCUCACCAAGGCCACGAUGCAUAGCCGACCUGAGAGGGUGAGCAGCCACACGGGGACUGAGACACGGCCCAGACUCCUACGGGAGGCAGCAGUAGGGAAUCUUCGGCAAUGGACGAAAGUCUGACGUAGCAACGCCGCGUGAAUGAAGAAGGUUUUCGGAUCGUAAAUCUCUGUUGUUAGAGAAGCGGUAUCUAACCAGAAAGUCACGGCUAACUACGUGCCAGCAGCCGCGGUAAUUC